rnacentral:rRNA from 1 species
GGUUAAGCGACUAAGCGUACACGGUGGAUGCCCUGGCAGUCAGAGGCGAUGAAGGACGUGCUAAUCUGCGAAAAGCGUCGGUAAGGUGAUAUGAACCGUUAUAGCCGGCGAUGUCCGAAUGGGGAAACCCAGUGCAAUUCGUUGCACUAUCGUUAACUGAAUACAUAGGUUAACGAGGCGAACCGGGGGAACUGAAACAUCUAAGUACCCCGAGGAAAAGAAAUCAACCGAGAUUCCCCCAGUAGCGGCGAGCGAACGGGGAGCAGCCCAGAGUCUGAAUCAGCUUGUGUGUUAGUGGAACGGUCUGGAAAGUCCGACGGUACAGGGUGAUAGUCCCGUACACCAAAAUGCACAGGCUGUGAACUCGAAGAGUAGGGCGGGACACGUGGUAUCCUGUCUGAAUAUGGGGGGACCAUCCUCCAAGGCUAAAUACUCCUGACUGACCGAUAGUGAACCAGUACCGUGAGGGAAAGGCGAAAAGAACCCCGGCGAGGGGAGUGAAAAAGAACCUGAAACCGUGUACGUACAAGCAGUGGGAGCACCUUCGGGUGUGACUGCGUACCUUUUGUAUAAUGGGUCAGCGACUUAUAUUCUGUAGCAAGGUUAACCGUAUAGGGGAGCCGCAGGGAAACCGAGUCUUAACUGGGCGUUAAGUUGCAGGGUAUAGACCCGAAACCCGGUGAUCUAGCCAUGGGCAGGUUGAAGGUUGGGUAACACUAACUGGAGGACCGAACCGACUAAUGUUGAAAAAUUAGCGGAUGACUUGUGGCUGGGGGUGAAAGGCCAAUCAAACCGGGAGAUAGCUGGUUCUCCCCGAAAGCUAUUUAGGUAGCGCCUCGUGAAUUCAUCUUCGGGGGUAGAGCACUGUUUCGGCUAGGGGGUCAUCCCGACUUACCAACCCGAUGCAAACUACGAAUACCGAAGAAUGUUAUCACGGGAGACACACGGCGGGUGCUAACGUCCGUCGUGAAGAGGGAAACAACCCAGACCGCCAGCUAAGGUCCCAAAGUCAUGGUUAAGUGGGAAACGAUGUGGGAAGGCACAGACAGCCAGGAUGUUGGCUUAGAAGCAGCCAUCAUUUAAAGAAAGCGUAAUAGCUCACUGGUCGAGUCGGCCUGCGCGGAAGAUGUAACGGGGCUAAACCAUGCACCGAAGCUGCGGCAGCGACACUAUGUGUUGUUGGGUAGGGGAGCGUUCUGUAAGCCUGCGAAGGUGACCUGUGAGGGUUGCUGGAGGUAUCAGAAGUGCGAAUGCUGACAUAAGUAACGAUAAAGCGGGUGAAAAGCCCGCUCGCCGGAAGACCAAGGGUUCCUGUCCAACGUUAAUCGGGGCAGGGUGAGUCGACCCCUAAGGCGAGGCCGAAAGGCGUAGUCGAUGGGAAACAGGUUAAUAUUCCUGUACUUGGUGUUACUGCGAAGGGGGGACGGAGAAGGCUAUGUUAGCCGGGCGACGGUUGUCCCGGUUUAAGCAUGUAGGC